rnacentral:rRNA from 1 species
AUUGAACGCUGGCGGCAGGCUUAACACAUGCAAGUCGAGCGGGGAAAGGUAGCUUGCUACCUAACCUAGCGGCGGACGGGUGAGUAAUGCUUAGGAAUCUGCCUAUUAGUGGGGGACAACAUUCCGAAAGGAAUGCUAAUACCGCAUACGCCCUACGGGGGAAAGCAGGGGAUCUUCGGACCUUUCGCUAAUAGAUGAGCCCAAGUCAGAUUAGCUAGUUGGUGGGGUAAAGGCCUACCAAGGCGACGAUCUGUAGCGGGUCUGAGAGGAUGAUCCGCCACACUGGGACUGAGACACGGCCCAGACUCCUACGGGAGGCAGCAGUGGGGAAUAUUGGACAAUGGGCGAAAGCCUGAUCCAGCCAUGCCGCGUGUGUGAAGAAGGCCUUUUGGUUGUAAAGCACUUUAAGCGAGGAAGAGGCUACUUGGAUUAAUACUCUAGGAUAGUGGACGUUACUCGCAGAAUAAGCACCGGCUAACUCUGUGCCAGCAGCCGCGGUAACAC